rnacentral:rRNA from 1 species
AUGGACACUUUCUCCCAUGUUCCGCCGGGUUUCCGGUUUCAUCCUACCGACGAGGAGCUCGUCGAUUAUUACUUGAGGAAGAAGGUGGCAUCCAAGAAGAUUGACCUAGACGUCAUAAAGGACGUCGAUUUGUACAAAAUCGAGCCAUGGGAUCUCCAAGACAAGUGCAAGAUUGGCAUGGAGGAGCAGAAUGACUGGUACUUCUUCAGCCACAAGGACAAGAAGUACCCGACGGGCACCCGCACCAACAGGGCGACGAGCGCCGGGUUCUGGAAGGCGACCGGGAGGGACAAGCCCAUCUACACCAACCACUGCCUAGUCGGAAUGAGGAAGACACUCGUCUUCUACAAGGGCCGUGCCCCCAACGGUCAGAAGUCGGACUGGAUCAUGCACGAGUACCGCCUCGAGACGAACGAGAAUGGAGCCACGCCCGAGGAAGGAUGGGUGGUCUGCCGGGUGUUCAAGAAGCGAGUCGCGACGGUGCGGAGGAUGGCAGAUAUGAGCUCACCUUGCUGGUUCGACGACCAUGGUGCUGGCGGUGGGUUCAUGCCGGACCUCGACUCGCCAAGGCAGCUCGGGUACCAGCACCACCACCCCCAGAACUUGGCGCCGUACCACAGCCAGCAGCAGCAGCAGUACCACUGCAAGCCGGAGCUGGAGUACCAUCGCCUCCUGCCGCAGGAGGCCUUCAUGCAACAGCUUCCUCACCUGGAGAGCCCCAAGCCUACUACGGCCUACAUUGGCCACGGCAGCAGCGGCGGCAUCCUAUCGUCGACCAGCAACCACCCCCUCGCGCAUGACGGGCCCUCCAGGUUCGCAGCGCAGCAACCGCCGAUGGACCAUGCGCUUUACACUGGUGAAUCGUCGGCCACGGACUGGAGGUACCUCGACAAGUUCGUCGCGUCUCAGCUGUUCAGCCAUGACGGUACCAAUCCCAAGGAGCAGGCCACUCACUCCAAUGCAGCAGUCCAGGUGUUUCAGGCAGAGAACAAGCAUGAAGAGGCCCUGGACUACGCUUUGACAUCUGCCGGCGGAGGCUCGGCUCAUCUGUGGAAAUAG